rnacentral:tRNA from 1 species
CAAGAAGUAGUUUAGUGCAGAACGCCGGCUUUGGGAGCCGAUGGCAGGAGCAUAGCUUCUCUUCUUGA